UGGGGAAUUUUGGACAAUGGGCGAAAGCCUGAUCCAGCCAUGCCGCGUGUCUGAAGAAGGCCUUCGGGUUGUAAAGGACUUUUGUCAGGGAGGAAAUCCCUAGCGUUAAUACCGCUGGGGGAUGACAGUACCUGAAGAAUAAGCACCGGCUAACUACGUGCCAGCAGCCGCGGUAAUACGUAGGGUGCGAGCGUUAAUCGGAAUUACUGGGCGUAAAGCGUGCGCAGGCGGUUUGAUAAGCCAGAUGUGAAAUCCCCGAGCUCAACUUGGGAACUGCGUUUGGAACUGUCAGACUAGAGUGCGUCAGAGGGGGGUGGAAUUCCGCGUGUAGCAGUGAAAUGCGUAGAGAUGCGGAGGAACACCGAUGGCGAAGGCAGCCCCCUGGGAUGACACUGACGCUCAUGCACGAAAGCGUGGGGAGCAAACAGGAUUAGAUACCCUGGUAGUCCACGCCCUAAACGAUGUCAAUUAGCUGUUGGGGGUUAGAAUCCCUGGUAGCGUAGCUAACGCGUGAAAUUGACCGCCUGGGGAGUACGGCCGCAAGGUUA
rnacentral:rRNA from 1 species